rnacentral:tRNA from 1 species
GGAAGAGUGGCCGAGUGGUUUAAGGCACCUGUCUUGAAAACAGACGAGGGUUCACGCCCUCCGUGAGUUCGAAUCUCACCUCUUCCGCCA